rnacentral:sRNA from 1 species
GGGGGGCUUGGCGCUGCGGCCACUGCGCGGAACGACGCUGCGGCACCCGCUCCAGACAUGCUGCUGCUGAAGAAACACACGGAGGACAUCAGCAGCGUCUACGAGAUCCGUGAGAGGCUCGGAUCGGGUGCCUUCUCCGAGGUGGUGCUGGCCCAGGAGCGGGGCUCCGCACACCUCGUGGCCCUCAAGUGCAUCCCCAAGAAGGCCCUCCGGGGCAAGGAGGCCCUGGUGGAGAAUGAGAUCGCAGUGCUCCGUAGGAUCAGUCACCCCAACAUCGUCGCUCUGGAGGAUGUCCACGAGAGCCCUUCCCACCUCUACCUGGCCAUGGAACUGGUGACGGGUGGCGAGCUGUUUGACCGCAUCAUGGAGCGCGGCUCCUACACAGAGAAGGAUGCCAGCCAUCUGGUGGGUCAGGUCCUUGGCGCCGUCUCCUACCUGCACAGCCUGGGGAUCGUGCACCGGGACCUCAAGCCCGAAAACCUCCUGUAUGCCACGCCCUUUGAGGACUCGAAGAUCAUGGUCUCUGACUUUGGACUCUCCAAAAUCCAGGCUGGCAACAUGCUAGGCACCGCCUGUGGGACCCCUGGAUAUGUGGGUGAGGGACGACACCCUGAGGCUUGCUGGGAGUGGGGUGGCCUGGGGGACCCUAGACAGCCGGGAAGGCUGUUGUGCCCGUUGCCUUUGUGUGGGCCAUUCCUGGGCUUGAGUAGGCCGAGCCAGUGACACUGAGCGGCAUGGCUGCGUGUGUGCCUGUGCGUGCGUCUGUCUGUCUCUGGCCCCCAGCCCCAGAGCUCUUGGAGCAGAAACCCUACGGGAAGGCCGUAGAUGUGUGGGCC